GCUUCUCUUGAGAGCGGCGGACGGGUGAGUAAUGCCUAGGAAUCUGCCUGGUAGUGGGGGAUAACGUCCGGAAACGGACGCUAAUACCGCAUACGUCCUACGGGAGAAAGCAGGGGACCUUCGGGCCUUGCGCUAUCAGAUGAGCCUAGGUCGGAUUAGCUAGUUGGUGGGGUAAUGGCUCACCAAGGCGACGAUCCGUAACUGGUCUGAGAGGAUGAUCAGUCACACUGGAACUGAGACACGGUCCAGACUCCUACGGGAGGCAGCAGUGGGGAAUAUUGGACAAUGGGCGAAAGCCUGAUCCAGCCAUGCCGCGUGUGUGAAGAAGGUCUUCGGAUUGUAAAGCACUUUAAGUUGGGAGGAAGGGCAGUAAAUUAAUACUUUGCUGUUUUGACGUUACCGACAGAAUAAGCACCGGCUAACUCUGUGCCAUCAGCCGCGGUAAUACAGAGGGUGCAAGCGUUAAUCGGAAUUACUGGGCGUAAAGCGCGCGUAGGUGGUUCGUUAAGUUGGAUGUGAAAUCCCCGGGCUCAACCUGGGAACUGC
rnacentral:rRNA from 1 species